UACGUAGGGUGCAAGCGUUAAUCGGAAUUACUGGGCGUAAAGCGUGCGCAGGCGGCUUUGCAAGACAGAUGUGAGAUCCCCGGGCUUAACCUGGGAACUGCAUUUGUGACUGCAAGGCUGGAGUGCGGCAGAGGGGGAUGGAAUUCCGCGUGUAGCAGUGAAAUGCGUAGAUAUGCGGAGGAACACCGAUGGCGAAGGCAAUCCCCUGGGCCUGUACUGACGCUCAUGCACGAAAGCGUGGGGAGCAAACAGG
rnacentral:rRNA from 1 species